CCUAAUACCGCACCUAUGGACGAGGAAGGCGCUCGCCCAGCGCACCUCGCACGCACACAGAGCCCAAGUCAGCCAGAAACCCACAGAGAGAGAGCCCUCUGCCAGCCAGCCGCAAAUUGUCUGAAUAAAAUGAAUACUCACUCUUUCAAGGAGCAAGGGAGCCGCUCGCCCACAGCCACUUCACGCACGGAUUGAAAGGAUGAGGUAAAAAAACAUCAGCCAGUCCCUGGGAACAGGCAGGGUUCUCCAGAUUUUCUUCUCAUGCUUUCCUAGGCUGCCGAUGCUGGCGGAGCCGCUGGUUGCUGGGCUUCCCGGGUCUCUGUGCCUGCAUGCCGGAGUGCAGUUAUUAAUUUCUCCCGUCGCACAAGCCAGCGGCAGCCGCACGUCUCCAGGAAAGCAGGGAUAUUCCAAAUAAAUCCGCUAAUUCCGGGGCUGAGCGCACUAUCGUGCCUGCCUGCCUGCCAAACGUAACUGUGAAGCGAUGUGGAAAAGUGAGCCGGGAGCCUCCCCUGACAGCUCUUAUUGGGCUGAUCUCGGAGGCAGGUCUAGCGCUGGGAAAUUCGUGUAAGCACUUUGGGGUGGUGGUUUUCCCCCUCCCUCCGCUGCCCGCCUUCCCCCCGGCAGACACACAACUUUUCCAGGGGCGGCGGCGCCGCUCGCUCCCCGCGGCCGUGCCGGGCACCCGGGCCGCCAACUCCGCGCCGGGGCAUCUCCUCCGGCCGCCCGGGAGCGACGGAGGGAGGGAUGCGGGAUGGAGGGAGGGCGGGCGGGGGUGGGCACCGGGCGGACCCGGGGGCGGGGGGGCCGGGCCCGGAGCGGGGCCACCGGGGACGCGCCCGCCGGGGCUGGGACGUGCCCGGAGCGCCGGCGAGGAGGAGACCCCUCGUCCUUCGGGGGGAUGCCCGCCGGGAGGGGGGGCCGGGAGAGGGAUGAGGAGGGGAUGCGGCAGCACCCCGAGGGGCCGCGGGCAGCCGCUCAUCUCCGUGUGCCAGCGCUGCGGGCGGGAGCCCCGGGGACAGGGAGGGCAUCCUUUAAAACGCUUUUCCCAAGACGCUCCGGAGAGCUGCCGGCGGUUCAAGGCUCUCCGCAGCCUCGGUAGCCUCGGGCGCUGCGCGGAGCAGCCCCAGGGCAGCGCCAGCCGAGCUCCGCGCAGCGGGAGCUGGAUGAAGGCAGCACCGCGCAGGCUGGUCAUCUGAACCUCAUUCAGAGCGCCUGAAAGCCUCUCCACCUUAAGCAAAAG
rnacentral:lncRNA from 1 species